GGUGGGUGGAUGGAUGGAUGGAUAUAUGGAUGGAUGGAUGGAUGGAUGGACGGACAGUGGGCAGAUCCAUGGAUGGAUGGAUGGAUGGCAUCUACAAUCCGCUGCAGUCUGUACCAGCCCUGGAGGACUCUGCUUCUGAGUCCUCACAGUAGGACCUCCAGGCCUGAAGGACCCAACAGGAGCUUCUGAGCAAGGACCAGACGUUCCUCAUGAACCUUUUAGCCUCUGAAAUGCGCUCAGCCCUUCCCAACUACUCAGAGACUCUUUGCUCCAGAGUCCAUUUUUUAUUUUCAUUUUCAUCAUACAUUUGACUUGCCAAAGUGUGACACCAACCAGCCCUGUCCUUCAGCAGCAUUGCUGGGGAGGCCCAGGAAGCUGCCUUCCUAGCAGCCAGUCCUUCCUUUGAGCUGCCUCAGGUCCUGGCUGGUGUUCCCCAGAGUAGGGGCCGAGAGAGGCAUGCACAGGCUGGCAGCGGUCUGGUUUCCACUGUGUCCUCUAUUGUCACAGCCCUCCCUCACGCCUGGCUCUGCGCUUUGCUCCAGAUGCCAGGCGAGCUGGGCCAGCUACUCAGAACAGGUCAGGGACAAUGUAGUCACUGUGGACCCCAUCAAUCACCCCUUGGCC